UACGUAGGGGGCAAGCGUUGUUCGGAAUUACUGGGCGUAAAGGGCGCGUAGGCGGCUUUUCAAGUCGGGCGUGAAAUCUCCAGGCUUAACCUGGAAGGGUCGUUCGAUACUGUUAAGCUAGAGUGUGGAAGAGGCUACUGGAAUUCCGUGUGUAGCGGUGAAAUGCGUAGAUAUCGAGAGGAACACCAGUGGCGAAGGCGAGUCCCUGGACCUGUACUGACGCUCAUGCACGAAAGCGUGGGGAGCAAACAGG
rnacentral:rRNA from 1 species